GCGCGAAAACUUUACAAUGCGGGCAACCGUGAUAAGGGAACCUCGAGUGCCUGUACAUGCAGGCUGUCUGGGUGUCUAAAACACACCUAAAGAAAGGGCCGGGCAAGACCGGUGCCAGCCGCCGCGGUAAUACCGGCGGCUCGAGUGGUGGCCACUUUUAUUGGGCUUAAAGCGUUCGUAGCUGGGUUAUUAAGUCCCUUGGGAAAUCCGACGGCUUAACCGUCGGGCGUCUAAGGGAUACUGGCAAUCUUGGAACCGGGAGAGGUGAGGGGUACUUCGGGGGUAGGAGUGAAAUCCUGUAAUCCUCGAGGGACCACCUGUGGCGAAGGCGCCUCACCAGAACGGCUUCGACAGUGAGGGACGAAAGCUGGGGGAGCAAACCGGAUUAGAUACCCGGGUAGUCCCAGCCGUAAACGAUGUGCGUUAGGUGUAUCGGUGACCACGAGUCACCGAGGUGCCGAAGGGAAACCGUGAAACGUACCGCCUGGGAAGUACGGUCGCAAGGCUGAAACUUAAAGGAAUUGGCGGGGGAGCACCACAACAGGUGGAGCCUGCGGUUUAAUUGGACUCAACGCCGGAAAUCUCACCGGAUAAGACAGCUGAAUGAUUGUCGGGCUGAAGACUCUACAUGACUAGCU
rnacentral:rRNA from 1 species